AUUGAACGCUGGCGGCAGGCCUAACACAUGCAAGUCGAACGAGCGGCGGACGGGUGAGUAAUGUCUGGGAACCUGCCUGAUGGAUGGGGAUAACUACUGGAAACGGUAGCUAAUACCGCAUACCAUCCGAUUUGCCCAGAUGGGAUUAGCUAGUUGGUGGGGUAAUGGCGCACCAAGGCGACGCUCCCUAGCUGGUCUGAGAGGAUGACCAGCCACACUGGAACUGAGACACGGUCCAGACUCCUACGGGAGGCAGAAGUGGGGAAUAUUGCACAAUGGGCGAAAGCCUGAUGCAGCCAUGCCGCGUGUAUGAAGAAGGCCUUCGGGUUGGAAAGUACUUUCAGCGGGGAGGCGUUACCCGCAGAAGAAGAACCGGCUAACUCCGUGCCAGCAGCCGCGGUAAUUC
rnacentral:rRNA from 1 species